AAUUUAAUGGUCGAACAGACCAAGAAAAUGAAAUACUACACCCAAAUCUUAUCUUAAUUCAACAUCGAGGUCGCAAACUUAUUCAUAGAUAUGAACUCUCCGAAAAAAUUACGCUGUUAUCCCUAAGGUAGAUUAAUCUUUUAAUCAAAAAUUCUGGAUCAAAAAAACAUAAAUUAAUGAAAAAAAAAUUAAAAGUUUAAAAAAUUUUAAUGUCACCCCAACAAAACUUUAUAUUCUAAAAAUUUAUAUCAAAAACAAAAAACAAAAAAUUAUAUAUAAAGUAAAUCUCUAUAGGGUCUUCUCGUCCUAUAAAAAUAUUUUAGCUUUUUAACUAAAAAAUUAAAUUCAAAAUAUUAAUCAAAGAAAGUUUAUCUUUCAUCAAACCAUUCAUACAAGCCUCCAAUUAAAAGACAAAUGAUUAUGCUACCUUCGUACAGUUAAAAUACCGCAGCCUUUUAAUUCUUAAAAAUCAAUGGGCAGGCCCGAUCUUAAAUUAUUAUC
rnacentral:rRNA from 1 species